CACACUCAGGGAUGGGCCCCGAGGGUGCAUUUCCGGGCUCAAGGACCCCAGACGCUUGGGGCAGACAGCCUGUGCCGAACCGCCCCCCACUCCCCCGCCUCUCCCCAGCCCUCACCUUUCACAGGUGUAGCAUUCACAGUGCUCAUUCUUCUCACCGAAGAAGCCCUCUCCAUAGAAGCACGUCACCUCAUCCCCUGGCUCGAUGUCCCGGAGCACCUUCACGCAGGCUGCGUUCCCAUCUGCGGGCACAAACUGAGGGCCAAGCCUGCUCAGUGCCAGGACCUGGGCCCAGGCUUGGACUGACCCAUUCCCCAUGCCUGGCCAGGCACCCGGGCCCUGAGUGUCCUCUCCUGGAAUGGGGCAACAGCUGAGCCCCAAAAAGUGCCAUUCCAAGGCGGCUGCCCUGCCCAUGGCCUGUCCUUUGCCUGUAGCCCCUAGACAGUCCACCCAUUGGCUGUUUUCCACCCCUCCCUGCAGCAGGAUGAUCUAACCUGACCUUCUGGCAGUGUGCAGUGCCAGCAGUGGUGACCACUCCCUCCAGCCCCUGUGGUCUCAAGCCAAGCCCCGCCUCCUCUGCCACACCCAAUCCCCUCCCCUCCUCAGCUGCCUGCUCCCCGCCGAGGCCCGGCCUCUGCCUGCAAGGCCACCUCCCAUUAUGCCUCCACUCCGCAGCCCAAUCCAAGUGUGCUCUGGCCCUGCCUUUGGGAUCAUUCACCCAGGUGCUGUUCCACAGGCUCCUCCCGGGCCCCACACAGCCACACAUCCCUCCCUGUUCCCUGUCUAGGAGGGGGUAUGACCACUGUCCACCCAAGUGUCCACCUACCCAUCCACUCAAGCCUGACACUUGCCUGGGAGUGGCCUCGCCACCUGCCUACCUGACGGCCCCCAGCGCAACCAGCCAUUGCCUCCUGAGUGUGCCACCUCCUGCAUCCUCGUCUUCCUCCCAUCCCUGCGACCCCUGGGGGGUUAGCCCCUCCUCACCUGUUUGUGGCCACCCUGCCUCCAGCCUCUCCCCUUCCUGCCAAGCCUCCUGCACCUGGGCCUCCAGGGUGAUCUAAAAACCAAGCCUCCCAUUAUACACCCUGGGGGGAGUAUGUGGCACCCUGGCCCAGGCCACAAGGCCUUGCUGCCCAACCAAAGCCGUCACUGGGCACCCCCAGCCCUCUGGUGUGCCAUGUCCUGCUAGAUGCCCUCCUUUGCCCCCAAUUUUUCCCAGGGAAAUUCUGCUGCUUCUCCAUCAGUGCCCAGCAUGGCAUCGCUUCUGUGAAGCCAGAUGGAUCCGGAUCGCUGUCAAGCUGGCUGCCCUCUCCUGUGCUAAGGGUCGGUGGGAAGCCACAGGGAUAUGGGACAGCGUUUCGCUCUUGACUGACCAGAAGCCCCCUGCCCUGGGCUGCAGGUACCAUCCUUCCCGAAGGCCCACUCCUCCCGAGUCCCAGGGUCUCACCUUGCAGUUGGGUUUGCAGUCUGGAUCCGGUCAGGGCAAGAGAGAGAAGAGAGGUGGGUGAGCUCCGCGGCCCAGUCACAGAGCCCUCCCACGACACCCCUCCAGCCCCACCUGGCCCCACCCGUCCUGCCCCUCACCAUGGUUGAUGAAGGCGGCAGGGCCCAGCCACAGCUGAGCACUCCGCUUUCGGGUAGAGUACAUGAUGCUGAAGUCGUUCUCGCCGGCCCUCAGCAGCCCCUCGUCUGCCUCCCGCAGCUCUGCGAUGCAGCCCACCAGCAGCUCCAGCUUCUCAUUCUUCUUCCUGCCGAGAGGCCAGGGGGCAGGGCUGUGAGCAAUGCAUGGCGGGGGGGCGGGAACUGGGGCUCAGAGGCACCCGGGAAGCAGGGGCUCCCGUGUGCUGUUUGCUGCUGACUGAUUCUUCUUCCAUCUUUCUCUUUCCCUCCCGCCUGGGUCAGCUUCCCUGUUCCAGCCCACAGCCUCACAGGACCCUUCGGCUGAAAGCCUUCAGGAUAGCACAGACACAGCAGUGGCAGCCUCGCCGUGGGAGCCACUCUCAUUCCCAGCACCUCCGGAAUGAGCUGGGACCAGCUGGGACCAGCAGCUGCAUGCUGACUUGUCUGCAGCCCACCUCCUCACCGGACUGUGAACCCUGCAGGGGCAGGGUCUCCUCACCGCACUCAGGGGUUUCUAACACAUGGUGGGGGCUCCGGUCACGACGAGGAGCAAGGAAAGAACAGAGAGAUGAAGAAAACAACCCAAAACCCUAACGCGGACAGAGGGCCCGCCGUGUCCCCGCACCAGACGCCCGCGCCGCCGCCGCCGCCGCCGCUGC